GAGCCUACCUCCUCGGGGGACCCAGACUUAUUUACACAAGUAAAUAAAAUAUUGUGUUAAUUGCAGAUGGCGCUGACUGCUUUGAUGAAAAUAGAACUGAGCAAUGCAUAUGGAGGGGUGACAGGAGACCAGAGGGGUGUCAAGGGCCUCUCCUGAGCUGAGAGUGGGAUGAGGAUAAGAAGCCAGCCAGGCCCUCAGCCUAGCGGUGCAGAGAGGACAUGGAUCUUCCCGAGAUGCCCACAGUCUAUGAGAGAGAAAGACCAAGAAACCGCUGGAGGACUGGGUGAGCAGUGCUCUGAACCGGAGAGGGGUGUCCGACUCAGGAAAGACACUGUGAAGGAGGCCUGGCAGGUUCUAUUUUUGAAGGUCUGGGCAGGGACCAAGGCCCAGCAAGUGUAGCCAAAUCACACAGCUUCAUCUGCCUUCCCUGGCCUUGAUCACCACCACCCUUCCUGCUCCCUCCUCUUCUCCCUCCUGGAAGAAUGGGUCCUGUCUUCAGGCCCUGAGCAUCACUCCGGAGAGUGAGACAGACAGACAGACAGACAGACAGAGAAAGAGAGGUGGAGGCUGAGAGCAAGAACAACUCUGCUGGACCUUGGAAUCAGAGAGAUUUAUUCCAUCUCUCCUAAAUUUGAAAUAUUUUUCCUGGGUUCUCUCCUUGGGAACGCUUAUGUGUAGGAUUAAUUUAUGACUAGAUCCCAAAUGAAAACAGUUCCUAAGCCCAACACCCAAUAAAGUCCCCAUUGAGUUUCUUCUCACACUUCCUCCCCACCUGGCAGGCGAGGCCGCUGGCUCUGGUGUGUGUUCUGAGCUCACUGCAGGCCGGCCACUCUCUGGGGCACCACUUCUGUCCUGUGCCUGGCUCUGUCCACAGCACAGGCCCCAGUGUCCGCCCCAGCGUACUGCCUUGCUCACAAAUGCUCGUUUGCCUUCCGUUCUUAAUUUAUAAACUGUUUUUCAAACUUGUUGGCUGUGGGCUUUGAUCCUGGGGCUGUGAGUCCCAAGCGGCCAGGCACCAGGCAUCCACUGAAGCAGGCUGUGUCCACAGCACCCAAACAGGCUGGUCCUGGGACUCACUGGCUUGGAAGAUCAGAACUGAAAAGACCUUGGAAAUCACCUCAUUUUACAGAGAAGGAAACUGAGAUAAGUGAGUUGUCCAUCGUCAUGCUUAAAACAAGGUUUUAAUACUGGAUUUCUGUUGUUUUUAUGCCAGUCAACCUCAGAGGCAUUGGGCAAUGGAAUCUUCUCUAGUUGACUCUAUCCUGGUGUGAGAGGGAUUUGGUGAGUCAGGCUCCUGACCCACGCUCCUGAGAGCAGCAGCCUAUGGCUCAAGGCCACAAGGGAAGUGAUACGGUUUGGCUGUGCCCCAUCCAAAAUCUCAUCUUGAAUUUAAUCCCCAUAAUCCCCGUGUGUCAAUGGAGAGACCAGGUGGAGGUAAUUGGAUCAUGGGGUGGUUUCCUCCAUGCUAUUCUCAUGAUAGUGAGUGAGUUCUCACGAGAUCUGAUGGUUUUAUAAGGGGCUCUUCCCACCUUUGCUCAGCACUUAUCCUUCCUGCCACCUUGUGAAGAAGGUGGCUUGCUUGCCCUUCACCUUCCACCAUGAUUGUAAGUUUCCCGAGGCCCCCCGACUGAACCAUGCUGAACUAUGAGUCAAUUACGCCUCUUUCCUUUAUAAAUUACCCAGUCUCAGGUAUUUCUUUAUAGCAAUGUGAGAACGGACUAAUACAGAAGGAUUGCCUGGCAUUCUCCCAGGCGUGGAGGGAAUGGAGGGAAGAGCUGCAGGAAUGGGGGUGAUGUGGGAGGUGGAGCCUGGUGGGGUUGGGGAAGGUCUGCAAGCUGGAGCAGGGGCAGGGGUUUGGGGGUCCUCCCAGGGUCGCUGAGAGGGAGUUGCUUCCUAGGCCAGAUUCUGGGAGUGGAGCAGGACUUCAGAGGGCAGUGGCUCCCAGGACAUCCCUCAGCCCAGGACUCUUGUCCCCAUAAAGCACUAUACAAUCCCUGACUCCAUCUCCCACACUUUCAACACUGUGCCUUCCGGGAAUCACCAUCCAGCACUCCUCAAAUCCCAGAUGUUCUUCUCUGAGCAGUCCCUUUGUCUCCUUGUUCUGAUGGAAACCUGCUCUCCCCCGAGAUCACCGGUUCCCUAAAACUCCCUCAUAUGGUGAAUCUUUUCUACUCAAUGGGAUCGUCCUGCUAAACCUAGAGGAGAGGUGGGGGUCUUCUUUUCUUCACUCUGCUACUGCUUCUCCCUAAAACACCUAGAAGUUAAUCUUGUGUCAUUAGAGAGACUUUCUGAAAUGCCCCUAACAGUAAUUUACAUAUGCCCUGAGCUUUCCCCUUUCAUUCCUUGAUGUUUAGUGCCUAGAUUACCAUCAAUCUCAACACCGCUCCUGAUUGAGCACUGGGAGGAUUUUUCUCAGACCGUGACCUUUCUUUUCCUUGAACUUCUCUCCUUACUCAUAUUGGCCUCCACUGAGCUUCAGUCCCACACUCCAGUGGGCAUAUCCUAGACCCUGGCAUUUAUUACCAAUUAAAGCGCCCCCUCCAUAAUCUCAAUUGCAUCUCAACUGAAAGUUGUAUCUCUCUCCAACCACUUUCCUGAUCACUCCGUCUAGUACCUACUCUUUGUGGCUGUACUGGGAUUACAGCCCAUUCCUUCUACCAUCUUUUCACAGCCAUCACCCACCUUUGUGUUCAGUUACCUCCUUUUCCAGCUGAGGUUUCAUGGCCCAUCAGUAGAAUCCCUCCUUUCCAAACACCUGAAACUCCCUUGCUGCCUUGCGUGGUAGUCAUCUGGUGAAAGCCAAAUCCCAGCCUACUCUGUGCAGCAACUGCACAGGACUGAAGAAGGCACCUACCAUGCAGAGCAGUCUCAUCUCAGGUUCAUGACCAUUAACCUCAGGUGGACCCUGAGUGCUGCCUGGCAAGCCCAGUCCAUUCACUUUCCCACUCUCCAGAGCAUUAUGUCACACCUCUGCUUCUCUCAUUCCUUCACGCCUCCUUCACCAUGCUCGUUCUCAGUGGACAGCUUAUUACCAAAUGAGAAAUGAGAAACAAUCAGAAGAGGAUGCCACAUGCUCUCACCAUCCUGUCUAGACCCUUCCUUCAUUUAUGCCCUACUUCUCAGCCUUCCUUCCUGUUGUUAUGGAAGAACUGUCCAUCAAAGACCAAGAGCUGCAAUUCUCUAAGGGACUCCCUGCUCAGCAAUUAUACCACUCUAUUCUUCAUAAUCAAUAUCCCCUCUCUUCUGAAACAUUCCGAUUGCACAGAAACAUCCUGGAAUAGCUCCCAUGUUCAUCAACUUUCCCUUGAUCUUACAUCUGCCUCCAGCCACUGACCCAUUUCUUUGCUCCCCUUUACAGCAAAAGGCUCUUCAAGAGAGCCUUUACUUGCCACCUCCCAUUCGUCUCUUCCCCUUCUCUUUCCUUUUUCUGCUUUUUGUUUGUUUGUUUGUUUGUGUUUUUUUGGUAGUCACUCACAUACAGUAAAGUGUAUGAAUCCUAAGUAUACAGCUCAAUGACAUUUUACAGGUGUUUAUGCCCAAGUGGUCAUUGCCCAGAUCAAGACAUCCAACAAUGCCAACUCUCAGGAAGGCUCCCACCUGCCCCUUCUGGUCAAUACCUGCUCAUUGCCACCCCAAGAGGCAACUACUCUCCUGGACCUUAGACAAACACUUCAGGGGAGUAGAGGUAUUGUGGACAGUCAGCACAUGUCCUUGCAGAUGCAGAAGGUGACCACCCAUCCACAGAAGAGAAAUCAUGUGGCCCAGUGCCCCUGGCGGGAUCUCAGCCUGGUCAGAUGUGUGCAUGGGUGGACCUCAUGUACCCUGAAGACACCCUGAAGGAAAGACGUCCAAAUGGGAACACUGACUAUUUAUGGGUGGUGGAAUUCAUGGAGACUUUAGUUUAUUUGGUGCCUUCUAGCCAUGGAUGUUUUCCUAUUUCUUGUGCCAAGAAAGGAACACUUGUAGUUUAUUGGAUUUUCCUUAAUAUGCAGUUUUUCCAAAGUGUACAUUUGGGAGCCUACCUUGGAUUAAUCCUUGAAAUCUAAUAAGCAAACCAUAUUGUUUGGGGAGUAUAUUAGGUAAUUUGGUGUUGAAAUGAAAAUCACAUGUUCUUGGAUUCAUGGUCCAUUCGUUCUACAUUUAACAGAAUAAAUUCUUCUAAACAUUUCACACCCUUGCCUCUGUAAUUAAGGAAAUUCUACUCAGCCUGCUGAGUUACCAUUCCAAAUGCCCUAUUUAUUUGUCUAUAAUUUAUGUAUUUCCUUAUUUUUCUAUCAUUCUCAUUUUUUCUUUAUGCUUCUUUUAAGGGUUCUUUCUUACCAGCUAUAUUAGACAUUCUAAUACUAUUUUUACAGUUAGCCAUGCCUACCCAUACUUUCUUAUCUUUACUAUAUGCCAUUUCUUUAUCCAUUUUUAAUUUACUUUUCUAUAAAUUGGAAGAUAUCCUCUAUUUACUCUUAGAAAUGUUACUUUUCCAGUGAAAAACUUUUCGAGUGCUUAUUUGUUUAAAGUUUUUAUUUUGCAUAAGAAUGGUCUUUUAGGCCAGCAAGGUGUUUUAUGCCUGUAAUCCCAGCACUUUGGGAAGCUGAGGUGGGCAGAUCACCUGUGGU
rnacentral:lncRNA from 10 species